UUUAUCGUAACCAAAAUUUGCACUUUGCAUGGUUUAAAUCAGUUUUAAUAUCACGACGUUUUCCUCAAUAAGGAAUUAAAGAAACUACAGAGCCCUGAAGAUGGUUUGAUUCCAAACCGAAACGUUGGCUAGUUA